GAUGAACGCUGGCUGCUUGCCUCAUCCAUGCAACUCGAUCGAACAGACCAGCAGCUUUCUCCUCUGCCGUUAGCGGCGGAUUUGCGAUUAACUCGUGGAUAACCUACCUCUUAUACUGGGCUCACUUCGCGAAACCGGCUCUAAUUCCUGUUAACAUAUUGAACCGCAUGGUUCAAUAUUGCAACAUGGUUUUGCUGUCACCUAUAGCACGAUCCGCGCCGCAUUAGCUAGUUGGUAAGGUAACGGCUUACCAAGGCAACGAUGCGUAGCCGACCUGAGAGGGGGAUCGGCCACGCUGGAACUGAGACGCGUGCCAGACUGCUACGGGAGGCAGCAGGAGGGAAUCUUCAGCAAUGGGCGAAAGCCUGAAGGAGCAACGCCGCGUGAGUGAUGAAGGUCUUAGGAUCGAGAAACUAGGGUAUUAGGGAAGAACAAAUAUGUAAGGACAGAUACACGUCGUGACGGUACCAAAUCAGAAAGCCACGGCAAAAUACGUG
rnacentral:rRNA from 1 species